GAGAGGGAGAGAGAGAGUGAGACACAGAAUCCGAAGCAGGCUCCAGACUCUGAGUUGUCAGCACGGAGCCCGAUGCAGGGCUCGAACCCCUGAACCGUGAGAUUAUGACCUGAGCCGAAGUCAGAUGCUCAACCGACUGAGCCACGGCACUGGUCAGUUCCUCCUUCGAAGAGACUUUUCUGGCCACUGACUGGCCUUCUUUUCCUCUGUGUGGCCCUUCUCAUUUGUCCUGACAGCCUAACUCCUGGACUGUCGUCUGUCCUUCCUCAUUAGAUGAGGUUGGGGAUUGUGGCUUCUUGCGGCUUUGCUCCAGUGCACCCCAUACUUAGCCGAGGGUGCAGCCACCUUGCAGGUGCUCGGUGAAUAUUUAUCACAUGUGCAAAUGAGAGGAGUCCUAGGCUUGGCUAAAUGUGUUUGUUACAAAUGAGAAAGUGAGAACACAUCCAUGGUGGAAAACGUUACAAGAGAAACUGUCCUGGUCAGUGAGUUGUGGUUACAAGCAUUUCCUCCCGUUGAGUUGUCUUCCUCGCCCUCCUUUGUCUCCACUGCCUCCACUCCGCUCCCAUCCAGGUCUCACCUGCUUGCUCCUGAGGUUACUUUCACAGUCAUUCCCACAUCCGGGCUCCCGCUCUCCUGGACCCGCGUUCUGCAGGGGUGCUUACUGACCACGUUUGUCUUAUUUCAGCCUGGACACAUGGAAGCAGGUAGCUGAAAUAAGUCACACUUCCUUCUGUACUCCGACCUCCUCCCUGGAAAACCAGGUCUUCCCAGCAGGGAAUAUCCCCUUCCCAGUUACAGGCUGGGGCUGGCUGUGGGGCACCUUCCUCUGUGCUGAUGCUUCUAUGUGUGUUAGAGCCGUGGAUGUGUUAUCUUACUUCGUCUUUUGAUGCCUAGGACCAAGUGCUAUUUUUAAUUUAGAGACUAGAGUAAGACCCCGGCCCUAGGUGACAGCUAAAAAGUAGAUCAUGGAGGGGCGCCUGGGUGGCUCAGUCUGUUAAGCGUCCAACUAUGGCCCAGGUCAUGAUCUCGCAGUUCGUGAGUUCAAGCCCUGUGUAGGGCUCUGUGCUGACAGCUCAGAGCCUGGAGUCUGCUUCAGAGUCUUUGUCUCCCGCUCUUUCUGCCCCUCCCCUGUUCACGCUCUGUUUCUCUCUCAAAAAUAAACAUUAAAAAAAAAAAAAAGUAGAACAUGGAUUUGUACCCAGGAUCCAAAGCCCACCUACGUAGUCUGUAAUAUGUGGCCUGUCUGUGCUAGAUUGUACUGAUUCCUGUUUAAGGUUUUACAGGUACAAAGUAUGUGAAGCAUUCUGCAGAAUGGGGUUAAAUGAACUUAAGGUUUUCAUGGAGGAAUUCAUGUCUAAGCAUAUGAAAAAUACAGCGAGAGGGGACUGGCUUUACCAUUUCCUACGAGUUUGUUAAGCAUUGUAAACACAAGAAUAGAAAACUGACAGUUAACAGUGAGAGCCCGGUGUCUACACAAAAUAAUAGUUCAAUGGGCAAAGAUUAUUGAUUAAAUGGUGCAUUAUUCUCAUCACUAGAGCAAUAGCUUAUCGACUACUCAAAUUUGUGAUUUGUAUAAACUGCUUAUCAGUACUUUCUAAUCAUUGCAUAAAACUUCUUUAUAUAUUGUGGAUACUAAUAGUUUAUUGACCAAAUUUGUUGUAUUUUGCCCAUUGUAUUAUUAUUUACCUUUUAAAUUUAGUUAUAUUUUUGGCCAUAUGAAUUAUAUUUUUUUUAAUUAAAUACAUCUAUCUUUUGAUUGAUAAAUUCUGAAUUCUGUCUUAUUUGGAAAAAAUAAUUAAAUUGAUAUAAGAUAUUCUCUGCCCAUAGGGUGGAGUCCACUAGAUUUUCUAAAAUUGCAGUUUUAGGGGCAUCUGGGUGGCUAAGUCAGUUGGGUGUCAGACUCUUGGUUUUGGCUGAGGUCAUGAUCUCAGGGUUUGUGGGUUUGAGCCCCGGGUCAGGCUCUGUGCUGACAGCAGGGAGCCUGCUUGGUUUGUUCUUUCUUUCUCUCUCUCUCUUUCUGCCCCUCUACCACUCAUGCUAUCUGUCUCUAAAUAAACUUAAAAAAUAAAAUUACAAUUUUAUUUUUAUGUUUAAAUCUUUAAUUCUUCUACAAUUUGUGUGUAUGUGAUGAUUUAUAUCCUAAUGGCUAAACAGUUCUACCACCAAAGCUGGAUAGUUGAAGGCAUAGACAUGGACAGUGCCUGGAAUGAUUGCAUACUUAACAAAGGUUAGCUCUGAGGUGGUGGCGGUUAUAUGCAUAGAGUAGUGGGUUUUGUUUUGUUUUUUUAAUGUUUUAUUUACUAUUUAUUUUUGAGAGAGAGAGGGAGGCACAGAAUGUGAGGAAGACUCCAGGCUCUGAGCUAUCAGCACAGACCUAAUGUGGGCCUCGAGCUCGUGGACCGAGAGAUCGUAGCCUGAGCUGAAGUCGGACGCUUAACUGACUGAGCCACUCAGAUGUCUGUACAGUGAUGGUUUUAAAAUGGUGGUCAGGAUACUAAAAUCAGCCAGGCUGCUCCUCAAAAUGCAGAUUCCUUGAAACGCCCCCAGACCUACUGGACCAGAAUCUCUGAGAGCACAGCUGGUUUCUCAGAAACCAGGAAAUACAUUUGUGGCACAUACGACGGACAGAGGUUAACCCUGUUAACGUGCGAACUGCUGAAGUAGCGACAGGAAAACCGCGCAGACGUGGUGAAUGCACAGGGGAUGCAGUGCCGUGCCUCGCAGAAGAGCAGUAACAGUGUGCACGACACCAGCGCCCCAUUUGUGAGGAACUGAGUCAUUGGGGCCCUUUACACGUGUGUUCCGUAAUCUCCCCCGCUCUGCCUUGUUGGAAGCUUUGGAACUACCGAGGUUGAAAGGACUGUCGGCACAGAGGCGAUGGUGCCCUGACGUGAGCGUCUGACUCGCGGGCGCCGAAGCUGUCUGGAGUGUGGGUGCGUCUGCACACGUGACGUGCGUCGUGUGCCUGUGCCCUGGUGUCCCGGGGCUCCAGAGCGGCCACUACGCACUCCUGUGUUAGACCCCAGAGGGUUGUGAUGUCCUCAAGGCCACCAGUCAGAGUCGACAGGGCCGUGCUCCUCUGACGCUCUAGGGAGAACCCCUCGUUGCCUCUUCCUGGUUUCCUGGCCGCCCUUGGCUGCCCUUGGCCGCCCUUGGCUUCUGGCUUGGCCACCUCGGUACCACCUGCAUCUUCCUAGAUUCUCUCUGUGCCUGAGUGUUUCUCCGUCACUGGAUACAGGGCCUGUCCUAAUCCACUGUGACCUCAUCCUAACGUGAUUCCAUCUCCAGACUACCCCUGAGGUUCUGCGUGGCCAUGAAUUUUGGGAGAUGCUGUUCAACCCAGUAUGGUCCAUCCUCCACCUUCCCCCAUAAAUGUAUCUCUUUCCCACGUACAAAAUAAAUUCAUCCCGUCCCAGCCUCUCCGAGCCUUAGCUUGUUCCAGCAUUCACUCUGACUCCAGCAUCUCUUCUGAGUAUCAUCAGCUCCAAAGCUUCGACGUCUCAUCAUGUGGAUGAUCUAACUCAGGUACAGGUGAGGCUGGGUAUGUUCCAUGGCGGGACAGAAUUCCUCACUCUCCUGUGAACCUGUUAAGCUAGAAAAGAAACCAUCUGCUUCUGUAACACCUUGGGGGAAUAGGCACAGGGUAGACUUUCCCAUUUCAGGAGGGUAAAGUGGGAAAGGGAGGCCUUGGGCCCCAAGCAGGUGGAAAAGCCAACAGGGCAAACUUUGUAUGGUUUCGAGGCCUGAGAAUAGUCCGUGUCUCCUGCUCUGUUUCCUGGUCCUGGGGCCUCCCCCACCCUCUGGCCCCUCUACCUGCCUUCAGGGCGUCCUGCCCUCUUCCUGAAAGAUUACACAUUUGCAGCCCCUGAGUUCCGUUCUUGCUCUCCAGGCCUGUUUCUUGCCACAUGUGUUGAUGAGGGCAUUUAUAUAGGCACUACGAGCUGCUGGGGUUCAGGACUGCCUGAGUGGGGGUGUCCAGCCCAGGUGCCUGCAUCUCAGUCUGUGCUCUCCUGCUCUAACAGAGCUCCUUUGUCAGGAUUUGUGAAACGCACCUGAGGGCCUCAUACAUUGUUGCUUUAUUCUGGGUUUGUGCCUCGGUAAAUUCCCACACAAGUCCAUCAUCACUGUGCACAUACGGGCUCAAAGUCUAGAAUAGAAGUCUGUCCCUUCCCCGCUCCUGUGGAAGCAAGAAUAUAUGUAAUCCAAAAAAUGGCACUACUGGAAUUUCUAAUUGGACUUUUGAUCAAAAGCUAAAUUUCACUAUUUCGAAGCACACAGAUGGACAGGGCUCAACCCCUCCUUAAAGUAACAGAUCCCUUUUAAGGAUGGUGAACACAUUGGUGACAUUGGGGGACAGAUUGACGUAGGUGGGCUUUGAGGUUCUGGUACUAGUGGGAUUUCUUUUUGUAGGUUUGCAAUAGCAGCUUGAGGUGUUUGUAUGAACUCUUUGUUGUGGGUUAUUACUGAAUGUUUAGUCAACCUACCAGUUGGUCCGUGGUCUCGAUUAGUUGAUCAUUAUGAAGCUUAGUACGUAACACUGCUUUUCCUAAAGGCUAAGCAACAAGAGAGGUAAUCUGGUUUCCGUAAAUGUGGUUAGUGGUUUUGUUUUUCAGUCACUUCAUCUUCCUUACCUAUCCCCUUCAGCAUGUGGUGGGAUGAUUAAAUCUGACUCACAGGAAACAUGAAUACGUGAUGGUAUUAUUAGGUGGUUUGCCAGAUUAUAUGUUUGAUAAUUAUGCUGCCUUCAGAUCGUUUGAGGGACAAAUGUACUGUUCUGGUAUUUCCUACUGAUUUUUCUCCCCCUGCCGCGAAUUCCAAUUUCCUAGGUAAACUACCUAGCAGAGGACUCACCCACUGUGUAUUUCCACCAUAGUGCCACACUGUGGCGCUCUUGUGCUUUGGCCAAAUAAUUAGAAAAUACUCUUUUCUUCUUGCUGUCACAGCUCUUAUUUUGUGGAAUGGAUAAGAUGCUCUCAAAAGUAUAUGAAAACGCCCUCAUAUUGGGUACUUUUUUAGCUGUACAUAAUCAGUUUGUGAUUGCUUUCAGUGAUUGUGCUAGAUUGCUUUUUAUGUUCCAUCAUUUUGUUUUUAUUAGCAUGCAUAUUUUUUCUCUUGAUUGCCCCAUAUUACUUAGUUAAAAAAUCAGAGGGCUUUAUCAGUUCAUUUUUUAUUAGCAUGCAUAUUUAAUCUUUUUUGUCUUGAUUACCCCAUCUUAUUUAGUUAAAAAAUUAGAGGGUUUUUUGAAGGUUAUGAAGAAACCAGCAAACAAAAUGACAUUAUAGAUGACAAUAGGCAUAUAUUUUUAACUGUGGCAUUUGGGGCAGUGUUCCAUUAAAGCUACAGUUCUCAAAAUAUACAGUGUGGUCACCACAUCCAAGGUAGCUGUUUUCCCCACUGUUCGUGUUUGCACUGUGCCAGAACGUGUUCAAGAGGAAGCAGUUGAUGAUUUACCUAGAUAUAGUGCUCCCCGUGUUUAAAUUCUCCAGAUUUAUUGUCACUUUCGAGUGUCAUUUCUCAAGCCACGCCAUGUGCUAGUGCUGCUUGCUUUCUAAGGAGACUGUGUUUAGUAGGAGCCUUGAGGGAGGUGUUGGGAGAAUGAAGCACGGGACCAUCAGAGGGAUCCCCCUCCCCUGGGACUCCAAGAUCAGCUAAUAUUUCAGUGCUGUUACGUGAAAUGACUUGAUAGGUCUGCGGGGCUGCUUUUAGGAAGUAACAGUAUUUUAGCAAUGUGAACAACACAAACAGUAAACACUAAUUGAACUCGUAAACUAUUGAAAUGUAUUUUUCUUGAGAACAGAGUGCCAAGGAGAAGAUAGUUGGAUUAAAUGAGUCUGUUGAACUUGAAAGUAAAUGAGAGUCUCUGUCUUGAUCUGUAAAGGACCACAUAUCACUCCCCACAGGAUCAUCGGAAGUAUCUCCUGGCUAAGGAGGACACUCUUAAGUCUGCUGAAAUAGGAAUGGUGGGGGAUCGUGAACAGUUCUGUGGAUUAACUGAUUUUUGAUACUUUCUACCCUUGAGAUCACUAUGGGAACGAUCCUUGGUUGCUGUAGGACCGGCUGUAAGCUCCCUGUGGAGACGCAGUCCAUAGCAUUCCAGUGUGCAGUACUGGGGAGUUUCUAGAGUGAGGUUAGCGGUGAAAUGCCAAUAACGCGUGAAGCAGGGGAUUCAACUUCUGGUCUCCAGACAGGCCUCUAACCCACAGAGCGUGUGCUGGUGGCUGUCACUGGAGGACUUGUAGCCAGUGGGAAUGUCGGAUUUUAGAGCUGGGUGUUCUAGAGCUGUGAGUCGGAGUUAACACAGUCUGCAAAGGGACGGCCACGAAGAGGAAGCCGUGCUCCGCGAGGAACUGUAGUCGUGAACUAAGGACACGGGACAGCAGGGCAUGGGGCAGUAAUGGACCAAAUGACGGUUCAUUUCGUUUAUCCACGUGGUGAACGUUUGUGGGCCUUCUGUCCGGGGCCAGGCUCUGAUGGGCUCUCCAGGCUGGCUGUGUGGGAGGCCAGGCACCAUGACUGACCCAUGUGUGACCGUUAGUUCUGUACACAUUUGUGUAGUAUUUACAGUUGACCUAUUUGCAGAAUCAAUAAACAAAUACAGAAACAUCCUGUCUAGUGGUAACGAUAGAUAAGCACAUAGUUCUGUUUUGGAAAAAUAUGAGAGACAUAUCUUGUAUUUUUAAUUUGUGUCUCAGCUCUCAAUUCUGAGAAUCAGAUUCCUUGAAUCAUUUGUUAUUUAUGUUCAGAAUUCUCUGUGAUAUUUUAUUGUCUGUGGAACAGAGGCUCUAGGGGUGUAUCUCAGUUUUUUUGAAAAAAAGCUUACUUCACAGUAGCAUCCGUGAAAAGGCAGAAAUUAGCAUCUGUUUUCAUUUGGAAAAGUCAAAUAAGAAAACAUGUUCAGAAAUCAUUCCUGUGAAGGAAAGAAGUGUAAAGUAGUUUUCCAAAGUGGUAACUUAGAAAAAAACAGAAGAACAGGAGUGCCUGGAUGGCUCAGUCUGUUGAACGUCCAACUCUUGAUUUCAGCUCAGAACAUGAUCUCACAGUUGUGAGAUCCAGCCCCGCGUCGGGCUCUGUGCUGACAGCACAGAGCCUGCUUUGGUUGGGAUUCUCUUUCCCUCUCUCUACCUCUCUGCCCAUCUCCUCUUGGGCUUUCUUUCUCCCAAAAUAAAACUUAAAAAAAAACCCUCGGGGCACCUGGGUGGCUCAGUCAGUUAAGGGUCUGACUUCACCUCAGGUCAUGAUCUCUCACUCCUUAAGUUCGAGCCCCAAGUCAGGCUCUGCGCUGACCGCUCAGAGCCUGGAGUCUGCUUCGGAUUCUGUGUCUCCUUCUCUUUCUGCCCCUCCACCUCUCCUGCUCUGUCUCUGUCUCUGUCUCUGUAUCUCUC